rnacentral:rRNA from 1 species
AGUCACUGACAUUAGAUACCCCCGUAGUCCAGGGUGUAAACGCUGCAGACUUGGUGUUGGAGGCCCUUUGGGGGCAUUCAGUGCCGGAGAGAAGUUGUUAAGUCUGCUACUUGGGGAGUACGUCCGCAAGGAUGAAACUUAAAGGAAUUGGCGGGGAGCACCGCAACGGGAGGAGCGUGCGGUUUAAUUGGAUUCAACACCGUAAAACUCACCAGGGAAGACUGUUACAUGAAGGCCGAGAUGAAGACUCUGCUAGAUUUUCAG